GCCCUCAUUUGUUUAGCAUAUUGUACAAAGUAGUUCAUAUAAGGCAAAACCAAGAAUUAGUUACACAUGAAUUUGAUCAGAUUCUAAAGGUCUUUGCACUUGUUAUUUGGAAUUUAAAUUCGUUGUUCUCUUUGAUCCCCUGAAUACUUCAUUUUUUUUGAGAUUUCGACAAGUUUCUUUCUUUGUUCUUUCAUCUCGGCUAAUUAAUGAGAAGGAUCCCAUGAUAGCUCUGUAUAUUGCAUUGAACUACAUCUUCGCUCUUUCCUUUCAUGAGUGUUGACACGUAAUAAAUCUAUUUGAAGUCGAGGACAUUAGAUAAGAAUUUAUUCACCGGCUCAAUGCAUGCUAAGCGUGUUUACG
rnacentral:misc_RNA from 1 species